GACGUAGGGCGCGAGCGUGUCCGGAUUUAUUGGGCGUAAAGAGCUCGUAGGCGGCUUGUCGCGUCGAAUGUGAAAACCCACGGCUCAACUGUGGGCUUGCAGCUGAUACGGGCAGGCUUGAGUUCGGUAGGGGAGACUGGAAUUCCUGGUGUAGCGGUGAAAUGCGCAGAUAUCAGGAGGAACACCGGUGGCGAAGGCGGCCUUCUGGACA
rnacentral:rRNA from 1 species